UUCCCUAGAAGGAGAAAUCGGUAAGGUGAGAAGAUCAGAUGGAACUUACUAAAAGAGGACUAAGAACAAAAUGCAAUUAUUAGUGAACACGAGCUCUAUGAUGUUGUGUUGGCCUCUGCCACACAUCAACAUGAAUCUGUCACAGCGCUACCUGGAUCUCAUCUCCUUUCCUUGCUGCCUUCACUUCCCCUUGAGGACUAAGGACUGAAGAUCCCCUGAAACUCUGCUGUAG
rnacentral:lncRNA from 1 species